rnacentral:rRNA from 1 species
AGAGUUUGAUCAUGGCUCAGGAUGAACGCUAGCGGCAGGCUUAACACAUGCAAGUCGAGGGGUAUAGGUUUUCGGACCUAGAGACCGGCGCACGGGUGCGUAACGCGUAUGCAAUCUACCUUUUACAGAGGGAUAGCCCAGAGAAAUUUGGAUUAGUACCUCAUAGUAUAAUGACUCGGCAUCGAGAUAUUAUUAAAGUCACAACGGUAAAAGAUGAGCAUGCGUCCCAUUAGCUAGUUGGUAAGGUAACGGCUUACCAAGGCAACGAUGGGUAGGGGUCCUGAGAGGGAGAUCCCCCACACUGGUACUGAGACACGGACCAGACUCCUACGGGAGGCAGCAGUGAGGAAUAUUGGUCAAUGGGCGCAAGCCUGAACCAGCAUGCCGCGUGCAGGAUGACGGUCCUAUGGAUUGUAAACUGCUUUUGCACAGGAAGAAACACUCGGACGUGUCCGAGCUUGACGGUACUGUGAGAAUAAGGAUCGGCUAACUCCGUGCCAGCAGCCGCGGUAAUACGGAGGAUCCAAGCGUUAUCCGGAAUCAUUGGGUUUAAAGGGUCCGUAGGCGGUUUUGUAAGUCAGUGGUGAAAGCCCAUCGCUCAACGGUGGAACGGCCAUUGAAACUGCAAGACUUGAAUUAUUAGGAAGUAACUAGAAUAUGUAGUGUAGCGGUGAAAUGCUUAGAGAUUACAUGGAAUACCAAUUGCGAAGGCAGGUUACUACUAAUGAAUUGACGCUGAUGGACGAAAGCGUGGGUAGCGAACAGGAUUAGAUACCCUAGUAGUCC